rnacentral:lncRNA from 1 species
GGCUGACGACCCCCUCGAAGCCUCUCCUAACAUGGGACUAAGUUGUGCCCGCAUGGCCGACCGAACCUAUUCAAAAAUAUAGGCCGGCGAAAUGGCUAUUUGCCCGCAAAGGAACGUUCCUUCUCGGGCCCUCCCCUCGCAUCCAACGGGGGCUGGUGUGUAACAUCCCAAAAUUUCAAACUUUUACAUGUGCAUUGCAUCCAUGAGCAUCAUGCCACAAUUGCAUAUUCGAAUUCAAAUUUUCAAUCUCAAAAGGCUUUGGAAAGAUUCUUUAUUUCAUUUUAAACCCUAGGGUUUACACCCAUAUGAGCUUUGGAUUUUCAAACCAAUAGGUUUUAUGUAUAAAAGGGGCUUAAUGCACAUAUAAGCCAUCCCAUAAUUUUUGGUUAAUUAUUUGGAGUUGAAAAAGUAUUUUAUUUAAAUGGAUAUAUAGCCCUAAAGGCAUUUAUAGGGCAAAUUUAUUUUUAUAUAUUUUAUUUUGAGGGGAAAAUACUCCCAAAAGUUGUAUCAUGGUGGAACAUGAUUUUACAAAUUUUCUGGGAUUUAUUUGGACCAAUUUGGAGUUCAAAAUCAAAAGUUAUCAAAGAAAUAGGAAAAGGGAAAAAGAAAAAAAAAGGGUGAACCGGACCGGUCCGACCGCUUGGGCCGAACCGGCCGAACCAGCCCGACCGACCGAGCUGCCCGCGCGCGCGCGCUCGAGCCACAGACAGGUGGGGCCCACCUGUCGGGGUCGUCCCCUACCUCGGGCAAGUGCCCGAAAUCGCGCCGCCGUCCCCGCGCGUGACCGCCGCGCGCCAUCACCGGG